rnacentral:rRNA from 1 species
GUCGUAACAAGGUUUCCGUAGGUGAACCUGCGGAAGGAUCAUUACUGAAUUGUCAAACGGGUUGUUGCUGGCCCUCAUAGGGGGCAUGUGCACGCUCUGUUUACACAUCCACUCACACCUGUGCACCCUCUGUAGUUCUAUGGUCUGGGGGACCCUGUCUUCCUUCUGUGGUUCUACGUCUUUACACACACACUGUAAUAAAGUUUUAUGGAAUGUACAUCGCGUCUAACGCAAUACAAUACAACUUUCAGCAACGGAUCUCUUGGCUCUCGCAUCGAUGAAGAACGCAGCGAAAUGCGAUAAGUAAUGUGAAUUGCAGAAUUCAGUGAAUCAUCGAAUCUUUGAACGCACCUUGCGCCCCUUGGCUAUUCCGAGGGGCAUGCCUGUUUGAGUAUCAUGAACACCUCAACUCUCAUGGUUUGCCAUGAUGAGUUGGACUCUGGGGGUUUUGCUGGCCUGUGGUCGGCUCCUCUCAAAUUAAUCAGCCUCCCAGUGUUUGGUGGCAUCACGGGUGUGAUAAAUAUCUACGCUCGCUGUUGUCUGCCAGGUAACCUUUGGUCACAAAGGCUUGCUGGAGCUCACAGAUGUCUCUCCUCAGCGAGGACAGCCUUUUUAACGUUCGAUCUCAAAUCAGGUAGGACUACCCGCUGAACUUAAGCAUAUCAAUAAGCGGAGGAAAAGAAACUAACAAGGAUUCCCCUAGUAACUGCGAGUGAAGCGGGAAAAGCUCAAAUUUAAAA